UUGAUUUAUGAUGUUUAAAGAGUUUCAGAGAUAAUUUGAGUAUUAAUGGACCUACAGUGAUCGUUAGGACUUAUCCAGUUACGCUUGUAGAGACUAUUUGGACUCAUCCGGGACGCCGGUGAGGUAUGUUUGGACCUGCAGGAAUUAUUUAGACCUAUCCGGUAGGGGCUAUUUGGACUCAUCCGGUAUGCUGGUGAGGUAUGUUUGGACAUGCAGGGAUUGUUUGGACCCAUCAGGACGCUGGUGGGGUAUAUAGGUGACCUACUUGGG
rnacentral:lncRNA from 1 species